rnacentral:rRNA from 1 species
GAUAACCGCUAGCGGCAGGCUUAACACAUGCAAGUCGAGGGGCAGCAUAGAUUGUAGCAAUACAAUUGGUGGCGACCGGCGCACGGGUGCGUAACGCGUAUGCAACCUACCCGUCACAGGGGGAUAAUCCGGAGAAAUCUGGCCUAAUACCCCAUAACAUAUGGAUCGGCAUCGGUUCAUGUCGAAAUUUUCGGUGGUGACGGAUGGGCAUGCGUAGCAUUAGCUUGUUGGUGAGGUAACGGCUCACCAAGGCGACGAUGCUUAGGGGGACUGAGAGGUUUUCCCCCCACACUGGUACUGAGACACGGACCAGACUCCUACGGGAGGCAGCAGUGAGGAAUAUUGGUCAAUGGGCGCAAGCCUGAACCAGCCAUGCCGCGUGCAGGAUGACGGCUCUAUGAGUUGUAAACUGCUUUUGUACGAGGGUAAAGUGGGUUACGUGUAACCUUUUGAAAGUAUCGUACGAAUAAGGAUCGGCUAACUCCGUGCCAGCCGCCGCCGUAA